rnacentral:rRNA from 1 species
AGUAACCUGCCCUUGACUUUGGGAUAACUUCAGGAAACUGGGGCUAAUACCGGAUAGGAGCUCCUGCUGCAUGGUGGGGGUUGGAAAGUUUCGGCGGUUGGGGAUGGACUCGCGGCUUAUCAGCUUGUUGGUGGGGUAGUGGCUUACCAAGGCUUUGACGGGUAGCCGGCCUGAGAGGGUGACCGGCCACAUUGGGACUGAGAUACGGCCCAG